rnacentral:rRNA from 1 species
CCUACGGGGUGCAGCAGUGAGGAAUAUUGGUCAAUGGUCGGGAGCCUGAACCAGCCAAGUCGCGUGCGGGAGGAAGGCCCUGCGUAUCGUAAACCGCUUUUGCACGGGAACAACACCCGCCACGUGUCCCCGGCUGCAUGUACCUUACGAAUAAGCGCCGGCUAACUCCGUGCCAGCAGCCGCGGUAAUACGGAGGGUCCGAGCGUUAUCCGGAUUUAUUGGGCUUAAAGGGAGCGUAGGCGGGCGUUUAAGUCAGCUGUAAAAUCGCGGGGCUCAACCCCGCCCCGCCGUUGAAACUGGAAGCCUUGAGUUGAAAAGAGGUAGGCGGAAUGCGCGGUGUAGCGGUGAAAUGCAUAGAUAUCGCGCGGAACCCCGAUUGCGAAGGCAGCAUGCCGGG